UGAGGAAUCUUGGACAAUGCCCGAAAGGGUGAUCCAGCGACGCUGCGUGGGUGAAGAAGGCCUUCGGGUCUUAAAACCCUGUCGAGCGGGAAGAAAUCCGUGCAAACGGAUUGACGGUACCGCUGGAGGAAGCCCCGGCUAAUCCCGUGCCAGCAGCCGCGGUAAUACGGGAGGGGCGAGCGUUACCCGGAUUCACUGGGUGUAAAGGGUCUGCAGGCGGUCGAGUAUGUCCGACUUGAAAUACUCCGGCUCAACCGGAGAACAGGGUCGGAAACUGCUCGACUCCGAGUUCGGAGGAGGAAAACGGAACUGCCGGUGUAGCGGUGAAAUGCGUAGAUAUCGGCAGGAACACCAGUGGCGAAGGCGGUUUUCUACUCCGUUACUGACGCUGAGGGACGAAAGCGUGGGGAGCGAUCGGG
rnacentral:rRNA from 1 species